GGGGAUGUAGCUCAGUGGCAUAGCAUAUGCUUCGCAUGUAUGGGGACCUGGGUUCACACCCCGGCAUCUCCA
rnacentral:tRNA from 1 species